UCUUGUAUGUGAAUAAUUUGGAGAACAAUAUUUGGAGUGCUUUAUGAACGGGAGAAACAUAUUAUUCUGUGGGUUGAUUUAUUGGUUUCAUUGGAGCAUGAAUUUUGAGAUGUAAAUUAUAAUAAAAAGAUUUCAUGGAAGUUGGAAAUGGAAACUAAAAAGUUAGAUAUCUUGUUGACCGUGUUAUUUUUGUUAUUUGAUGUGUAAUUUGAUUUUUAACAUUUUGUUAAGAAUAAUAUAUUUUUUUAUAUUUAAAUGAAUUCAUGUAUGAAAACAAUUUUCUUA